GGUUUGUGAAUUCUUUCACACAGGACCUGUGCUGACCAGAGGGAAUUCUCACAUCAAUUCUCUACCACUAGACUAGCAUCAAUACUAAAUUUUAACAGGGCUGGAUAUUUAAUUCUGGAAAAACUGAGAGGAUGAACUUGGCUUGGCCAAAGAUAAGAUCCUCUUGACUUGGUUUUCCUAUUGUGUAAUUUUCUUCUGAAAAAGAAUGUUUCCUACCUGAAUAAUCCUGAAUCUAGCAUGAUGGAAUUUUUGCUGCAUGAAUGAUUAUUCUAUAAAUUUGACUAUGACUAUAACCUGAUAUCAAACAGAACUUAGAACACUUUAUCCUGAUAUACAUGUGUUGAGUCAAAAUUAUCUUUUAUCUUUAGUAAUUAUUUCUCUCUCUCAUUUGGUUAAGAAUAUAUCUUCUACAUAUAAUUUUGAUAAUAUUAACAUUUUAUUUUGGCACAGCCUAGCCAUGAACACUGAAUAUUCCUCCAUCUUUUUAUGUUUUUCUUCAUUUCUUUAAGAGGCACUUUGUAAGUAAACUUAUACAAGUCUUAAGAUCCUUAGAUAAUGCAUAUAUUUGAUAAUUAUUUGAAAAGGGAUAUCUCUUGUCUUCUUGUCUUUUGAUAUUAUUACAUAGAAAUGUAAUGAUUUUUGAGGAUUUAUUUUAAAUCCCAUAACUUUGUUGAAGUUAUUGUCUCAAUUGGUAUUUUUGCUGAUUUGCUAGCAUUUUCCAAGCUAAAAAAGGAGAUCACUAGAGAGCAGGGAUAGUUUUAUCUUUUAUGUUUAUUCUUUUAAUUUUGUUCCUCUUGUUUUAUUGCCAUUAUGAGCAUUUCUAGAACUAUAUCAAAUAAUAAUCCUUGUUUCACUCUCACCUUUAUUGGAAAAGAUUCCCGUAUAUCCCCAAUGCAUAUACUUCUGGCUUUCACUUUUAGACACAUGUUUUUUAUGUUUUUUAUAUAUAUAAAGAUCUAUGGCCAUACCUUAUAGGGUGUUUAGUAUGAAAGUGUACUAUACUUUGUAAAAGGCUUUUUCUGAACCUAUUGAAAUGACUGUGAAGUUUGAGGUGUUUUGAUUUUUAAUAUAAUUAGUUAUGUUGAUUGUUUCCAAUUAAUUUUUUUUCCAGCUCUGACUCUUCAUUAGGAAUGCUUUAUAUCAACAAAUAUCCAUUCUUUCUCCUGAAAUAUUAUUCUCAGUUUUGCUGGAUAGGUGAUUCUUGGUUGUAAUUCUGGCUCUUUUCCAUCAAGAAUAUCAUGUCAUCUCAAACCUUUCAAUCCUUUAAUAUAGAAACCACUAAAUCCUGUGUAAUCCUGACUGUGUCUUCAUGUUUGAAUUAUUUCUUUCUGGGUGCUUGCAGUAUAUUCUCCUUGACCUGAGAGCUCUACAUUUGGCUAUAAUAUUCUUGGCAGUUUCUGUUUUGGGAUCUCUUUUUGGAGGCAAUUUGUGGAUUCUUUCCAUUUCUAUUUUACCCUCUGAUUCUAGGUUAUGGGAGCAGUUUUCCAUGAUAAUUUCUUGAAAUAUGAAGUUCAGGCUUUUUUUAUGAUUGUGGUUUUCAGGGAAUACAUCUAUUUUCCAGGUUAGCUGUUUUUCCAAUGAGAAUUUUCACAUCUUUUAUUUUUUUCAUUCUUUUGUUUUGCUUUUGCUUUUGCUUUUCUUAAUGUCUUACAGAAUCAUUAGCUUCAACUUAACCAAUUCUAAUUUUUAGCUAAUUCUUUUCUUCAGUGAGUUUUUGUACCUCUAUUUCCAUUUGGCCACUUUUACUUAUUAAGGAGUUGUUUUCUUCAAUGAAUUUUUGUAAGUCUUCCAGUUUUUGUGCCUCCUUUACUAAGCUUACUCCUUUUUCAUGAUUUUUUUUUUGCAUCACUCUCAUUUAUUUUCCCAAAUUUUCUUCUACCUCUCUUAAAUUUUAAAAAUCCUUUUGGAAUGCUUCUGAGAAUUCUUUUUGGGCCAGAGACUGAUUCACAUUUGUCUUUGAGACUUCAUAUGUAACUGUUUUGACAUAAUUGUCCUCUUUUAAGUUUGUGCCAUGAUCCUUCCUAUCACCAUAAUAACUUUCUGUGAUUGUAUUUUGUUUUGUUUUGUUUUUUUUUUUUUUUUGGUUGGUGGUAGGGUUUUUUGCUCAUUUUUCUGUCUAUUUUGUGGCUUUUUGCUGUAUGUAAAAAUUGAAUUCUGCUCUUGAAGUAGAAAGGGUAUUUCCCUCAACUUUUUUUAUGCUCCCCCCCCCUCGCCAAGACUUUGCUGUUAGCUUGCUCCUGGGAUUGGAGCCUUUGCUGCUGGCUUUUAGAGUGUUUUUUUUUUUUCAUUAGUUUAUUCAUCAAUUGUGCUCCCCUCCAACUCCAGUGAGUUAGUCCUUUGCUAUUGACUUUCCAAGCUUUCCUAGGCUUAUAAACUGCUUUACCAUUCCAAAACUGGUACUGAGGCAUUAUUGCAAGGAUGUCUGGAUAGGAAUUUGGGAAGACUUAGGUGAGUUCCUCACUCUGCCAUCUUGGCAGCAGAAGUAUUAAUUUUUUACAUUUCAUUUUUGUACCCCUUUCUAAGAAAGGAUUUCUCUCAAUCUCUUCAUUAUCUUCUCUUUAUGUCUAUUCUAGAUCCUCAUUCUUUGGUUCAUUAUCCCUAUAACUGUCUGGUAUCUUUCCUCUUUUGUAUCUUUCAUACAAUCAAAGCUUCCAAAGUAUCCAUUCUAGGUUUUCUUCUAAGUGAUUUCUAUGACUUACAUCAUGGAUUCUCCUUUUUCAUUGUAUCUCAGUUCCAGAACAAUGACGAUAUUUGCUGAUUUCAGAGUGAACCCUGCUCCACUACAUUUCUGAUUAUGGAGCCUAUCAGUGAUGUGAUCUGAAUAUUGCCCUGUUACCUUUCUCCUCUCUCCCCAAUUUGCCUCAAAAAUUUCUCCUUCCUGGAUCCUUGCCCUUCCACUCCCCUAGCUGCCAGUUUAUUCCUGAGGCUCUUUCUCCUCUCCCUCCACUGCUAAUGAAGGAUGAAUACACUUUUCAAGCACCAAAUUCCCCAGAUCAUCCCAGGGUAAAGUCCCCAUCUCCCUUCACAGGCCAUUACUUUUCUUCCAUAGGAGCAUUAAUCAAAAAGACCCCUUUCUAUUAUCAAAGUAGGGCCUCAUUCCUUUAACCCACUUUUACUUUUUUUCCUUUGUCCCACUUUUUUACUCUCCUAUCCUUCUCAUGCACUUUCCUGUAGACUCUUCUCUUUCUGAGACCACAGGUGUCACAUUUCCCCAUUUGCUAACAGCAAAUUUGGCCCCCAGCACAUCACAUUUUCCUCUCUAUCUCUCUGCUCCUUGCUUCACUCCUUCAUGUAUCCUAUGUUGUAGACUUACAGAAAUACAUCAAUUCACUCUCAGCCACAAUGCCGUCUGCUUUUUUACUCUUGUUUCUACCAGAUUUCCACCUUCACUCCUGACUAAAUGUGUACCUUUAGAAAAAGUUUCUUACUGCUCCCUUCACUGCCAUUUUGUUGCUGUUAUAUGUCUUUUUGCUGUUGCAUUUAUUCACUCUUCCACAUUUCUUUUCUUUGGAUAUUUGAGUAGCAAAUCAUGUUUUUAGUUUUGGUUUUCUUUCUAAAAUGUUUCAAAUGCUUCUUUAUUAAUGAAUGUUCAUUUUUUUCACGUAUGACUAAGUUCAUAUUUGCAAGAUAGGUCACCCUGGGCUGCAUAUUGAGCAUCAUUGCUCUUGAGAACACAUUAUUCCAUUCCCUCCUACGUUUCCUAGUGGGUGCAAAACAGUUUCACAUUAUUCAAAUUUCCUUUUCUUUAAUUUAAAAAAGUAUUCUGAUCCCUUGAAGAACUUGUUUUUGAAUUGAAGUGCUAAAUUUAACUACCUAUAUCUGAGUUUGCAGCCUCAUUUCUAUCCAACAUAAGAUGAGUCUUUAGAAAUUGGAGUCCUUCAGGUAUUCUAAGGAAAGGUGAAUACUCUAAGGAAAGGUGAACAAAUCCAGGUCAGAACUGGAGAAGGUCAAAGCUCAGCAGUCCAUAAACGUGCCCUUCCAGUCUGGGAAAAAAAGAGCCAGCUUAAAAAAGCAAAAAAAAAGGACAAUGAACUGUAAUAGGAGACUCAGAGAUCAGUGUAUAACUCAGUAGAUGCCAUAGAACAUCAAUAGAGCUCUAAAAUGUAAUUCAUUCAGAAUAAUUGUUAUCAAGGUCUAGAAUAUCAUUAGCAACUAGAGAAUCUUGAAAGCAAUCAGGAAGAUAUUUACGUAUUGACAAAUAGCUCAAAUGAUAGGAAAUAAAAGAAAUUUCUACAAUGCAUUAUACUGGAAAGGGAAAUUAGCUUGAAUCUCAAAUAUCUAUACUGCAAAUCUGAGCAUUAUGAUAAAAGAUGUGUUUUCAGUGAGGACAGAAAAUUUAAUUCUGGAUGAGAAAGUUUUUGACACUGUCUAGGACACUCCUAGGUACUUUCAUUAAGAGUUUUUUGUUUUUUUUUUUCCAGAAGGUGUUUUGUGGGUUACUUCUAUUUUUACUUUCUAAUACAUCUAGGUAAUUUUCUUAUGAAUUUUUGAAAUGUGGUAAAAAAAUUUGUUUUUUGGUCAUGGUUUUUAAGGAGUCUGAUGAUUCUUAUAUUAUCUCUCAUUGACUUAUUUCUUUGUCAAUUGCUUUUAACAGUAGGAUAUUUACUGUUUUCCUUUUUUAAAAAAGAUCUUUUGACUUUGCUUUAAUAUUUCUUUCUUUUUUCAACAUUAGUUUUUUAAAAUAAGAUUUCGAGUUCCAAUUUUUUUCUCCCUUUUCUCUUCCCUACAAUGGCAAAUAAUCUGAUAUAGGUCAUACAUGUGCAAUCAUGUUAAAAAUAUUUCCACAUUAGUCACAUUGUGAAAGAGAAACCGAACAAAAGGAAAAAUCUGUGAAGAAAACAAAGAAAAUGAAAAUAGUAAGCUUCAAUUGACUUUCAGAUUUUCUCUGUUUUUUCUUUGGAUGGGAUAGCAUUUCUAUCAUGACUCUUUUGGCACUGUCUUGGAUUAUUGUAGUGUGAGAAGAGCUGUUUUUCAUACUCAUCAUUGCACAAUGUUGCUGUUACUGUGCACAAUCUUCUCCUGAUUCUACUCACUUCAUUCAGUAUCAGUUCAUUUAAGUCUUUCCAGGUUUUUCUGAAAUCAGAUAAACCACAACUUAUUCAACCAUUCCCCAAUUGAUUAGUAUCGCCUCAAUUUCCAAUUCUUUGCCAUCACAAAAAGAGCUGCUAUAAAUAUUUUUGUAUAUUCUUUUUCCUUUUUUAAUGAUCUUCCUGGGAUACAGACUUAAUAGUGGCAUUGCUGGAUCAAAAGGUAUGGACAUUUUGUGCUUUAAUAUUUCUUAUUUUUGCAUAAUCAUUGGGUUCUGUUUUUCUAAUUUUCAGUGUAUGUAAUUAGGUAAGAUUUCCCAUCUUCUAUUCUAAGCUUUGUUUUCCUUCCCAUUUUUUUUUCUUUAAGAACUCAAAUUUCAAUUUUUAUCCCUUGCUUCAUCUCUUCUAACUAUUCUUUUAUUUCUUGUGUGGUCAAUUGAUUUUUUUCUCUACAUGUGGAGUUAAUCAUAUUUUUUGAUUUAUUUCUUGGGCUUCACUUAUAUAUAGUAUUUCUUCAUUUUCAUUUGGCAUUUUCUUUAUAAAUAUUUCUAAGCCAAGUUCUUUUUUUGUUUGUUUAUUUUGUUUUUUAAUAAUAGCUUUUUAUUUUCAAAAUACAUGCAAAGAUAGUUUCCAACAUUCACCUCUACAAAACCCCACAUUCCAAAUUUUUCUCCCUCCCUUGUCCCCAUCCCUCUCCCCUAGACAGUAAUCCAAGAUAGGUUAAACAUGUGCAAUUCUUCUAAACAUAUUUCCACAGUUAUCAUGCUGCACAAGGAAAUCAGAUCAAAAAGAGAAAAAAAUGAGAAAAAAGAAAUAAAAAGGUGAAAAUACUAUGUUGUGAUCUACAUUAAGUCCUUAUAAUCCUCUUUCUAGAUGCAAAUGGCUCUCUCGAUCACAAGUCUAUAGGAAUUGACCUGCAUCAUCUCAUUGUGGAAAAGAGCCAAAUCCAUCAGAGUUGAUCAUUAUAAUCAUCUUAUUGCUUGAUUCUACACCCUUCACUUAGCUCCAGUUCAUUUACAGAUUGAUCCCCUACAAGCCUACAUCAAGAGAAAGAAGACAUAUUGUUGAUUUGAAAGUGGCUACCAAAUCAGCAUGCUCAUGACCAAAAGGGGUUCAAACAAAAAGGACCCUUUAGAGCAGGGGUUUGGUUUUUUUGUUUUGCGUUAGCAGGUUGGUGAAACCUAUGGACUUCUCAGCAUAACAGUUUUAAAUGCAUUAAAAUAGAAUGCAUGUAAUUAUAAAGGAAACCAGUUAUGUAGAAAUACAAUGAUCAAGAUUAAAAACCAGCAACCAGCAACAAAACACCCCAAACCCUAGUUCAUGGAUCCCAAGUUAAGAAAAUUUCCUUUGGAAACUGCAUAGGGGUGGGGAAUAUUGUAAAGGAAAUAAUUAACUUGACCCAAGUUACAUGAGGAGUAAACUGGCCCAAAGAAUUAUGACCUCUGUGGAAAGGCCAGCAUGCUAUGCUAUCAUGUAUAGAUACAGAAAAGCAAAAGACUCAGGUUCACUCAUAAGAAUAACAGUACAAGACAUUUUAAGUGCUAAUUUGGGUGCAUGCCAUUAAAAGUUGUGGGCUUUAGAAGAAAAAAAUUGAAUGAGGAAGGAAAAUUUCACGAAAGGGCCUAGGUAGUAAGGGAAUUCACACUUAGGACACGAGUAAUGUAGAUAAAAAUAAGAAUUGUUCCAAACUUUCUGGAAAACAAUUGGAAUUAUGCAAGAAAACCCUUUAAAUUGCUAAUACUAUUCUUUGACCUAGUGAUCCCAUAUUGGGGAACAGGCAAUCAAAUACAAAAUAUUCACAAAA